rnacentral:misc_RNA from 1 species
CACACUCCAAGCGAUGCUUGAUGUUGGACGAUGCGAUGCCCUAGGUAUCGCACGUCUGGAACGCGUGGGCGCCCGCCGCCGGAACGUGAACGUAGCAAGACGUCAGUCAAAUUCGUUCAGUAAGUUCUGACGGAGGGCCGCCUCAUCUCUUUCUAUACCAGAAAU